rnacentral:rRNA from 1 species
UACGGAGGGUGCAAGCGUUAUCCGGAUUCACUGGGUUUAAAGGGUGCGUAGGUGGGUUGGUAAGUCAGUGGUGAAAUCUCCGAGCUUAACUUGGAAACUGCCAUUGAUACUAUCAGUCUUGAAUAUUGAGGAGGUCAGCGGAAUAUGUCAUGUAGCGGUGAAAUGCUUAGAUAUGACAUAGAACACCAAUUGCGAAGGCAGCUGGCUACGCAUAUAUUGACACUGAGGCACGAAAGCGUGGGGAUCAAACAGG